CGAGACCUUCGGGUCUAGUGGCGCACGGGUGCGUAACGCGUGGGAAUCUGCCCUAGGGUGCGGAAUAACUCGGAGAAAUCCGUGCUAAUACCGCAUAAUGUCUUCGGACCAAAGAUUUAUCGCCCUGGGAUGAGCCCGCGUUGGAUUAGCUAGUUGGUGGGGUAAAAGCCUACCAAGGCGACGAUCCAUAGCUGGUCUGAGAGGAUGAUCAGCCACACUGGGACUGAGACACGGCCCAGACUCCUACGGGAGGCAGCAGUGGGGAAUAUUGGACAAUGGGGGAAACCCUGAUCCAGCAAUGCCGCGUGAGUGAUGAAGGCCCUAGGGUUGUAAAGCUCUUUUACCCGGGAUGAUAAUGACAGUACCGGGAGAAUAAGCUCCGGCUAACUCCGUGCCAGCAGCCGCGGUAAUACGGAGGGAGCUAGCGUUGUUCGGAAUUACUGGGCGUAAAGCGCGCGUAGGCGGCGAACCAAGUCAGAGGUGAAAUCCCGGGGCUCAACCCCGGAACUGCCUUUGAAACUGGUUUGCUAGAAUCUUGGAGAGGCGAGUGGAAUUCCGAGUGUAGAGGUGAAAUUCGUAGAUAUUCGGAAGAACACCAGUGGC
rnacentral:rRNA from 1 species